rnacentral:rRNA from 1 species
UAGAACACUAUACCUGGAAUGGUUUGUGUUCCAAAUGAUUUAUCGCCAUAGGAUGGGACUGCGGCCUAUCAGUUUGUUGGUGAGGUAAUGGCCCACCAAGACUAUUACAGGUACGGGCUCUGAGAGGAGUAGCCCGGAGAUGGGUACUGAGACACGGACCCAGGCCCUAUGGGGCGCAGCAGGCGAGAAAACUUUGCAAUGUGCGAAAGCACGACAAGGUUAAUCCGAGUGAUUUGUGCUAAACGAAUCUUUUGUUAGUCCUAGAAACACUAACGAAUAAGGGGUGGGCAAGUUCUGGUGUCAGCCGCCGCGGUAAAACCAGCACCUCAAGUGGUCAGGAUGAUUAUUGGGCCUAAAGCAUCCGUAGCCGGCUCUGUAAGUUUUCGGUUAAAUCUGUACGCUUAACGUACAGGCUGCCGGGAAUACUGCAGAGCUAGGGAGUGGGAGAGGUAGACGGUACUCGGUAGGAAGUGGUAAAAUGCUUUGAUCUAUCGAUGACCACCUGUGGCGAAGGCGGUCUACCAGAACACGUCCGACGGUGAGGGAUGAAAGCUGGGGGAGCAAACCGGAUUAGAUACCCGGGUAGUCCCAGCUGUAAACUAUGCAAACUCAGUGAUGCAUUGGCUUGUGGCCAAUGCAGUGCUGCAGGGAAGCCGUUAAGUUUGCCGCCUGGGAAGUACGUACGCAAGUAUGAAACUUAAAGGAAUUGGCGGGGGAGCACCACAAGGGGUGACGCCUGCGGUUCAAUUGGAUUCAACGCCGGG